rnacentral:rRNA from 1 species
ACGCUCGACACCUACGGGGGGCAGCAGUAGGGAAUCUUCCACAAUGGACGCAAGUCUGAUGGAGCAACGCCGCGUGAGUGAAGAAGGUCUUCGGAUCGUAAAACUCUGUUGUUAGAGAAGAACACGAGUGAGAGUAACUGUUCAUUCGAUGACGGUAUCUAACCAGCAAGUCACGGCUAACUACGUGCCAACAGCCGCGGUAAUCUGAGCGGGCUGGCAAGGC